CAAUGACAUUGGUGAUUUAGUUGAAUUCCCUGAUAAUGAAUUGGGAAUUCAAUGCUAUGACGAUGAAUUUAGUGUUUUAACUCAAGGAACAUAUGGACUUUGUUACCGCGUCAUUGAUGACCGGACAAGCCCCGAUCACUUCCCCGAAAUUAAUGAUUUGUCAAUACUGUCUAAUUGUUAUCAUUCUGUACCAAGAAACGAAUCACCUCAAGAAAUGGAUACAUAAAAUCUAUGGGGAGAUGACGGUUUUAAUUCAGAUGUGAAUUACAUUUUAUGACGGGCAAUAGAGUCCAACAACUAUUUGUAAAAUUUAGUAUUUUUUGUGUAAAUUUUAUGUAGAGUUUUAAAUUAUG